GCACGAACACAACCCCGCUCCCGAGAGCUCACAGCUUCCGGUGCCACUGUCUGGGAAACGCACGAGCAGAGCAACAGAAGAUGAGAAUCCCCAGAAGCACGAGACCUGCGACGACUCCUCCGAUUACAACCGCAAUAGACGCCUCUCCUACGCUACCUGGAGAGAAAGGAGGAAAGACAUGGGGCUUUCUCAACAUACUUAGUCCAGGGGUGGGUUUUGGGGAUCCCUCCUCAGACAUGCAGGUGAGGCUGAUGUUGUGCCCGUACUCUGCUUUUCCCUGGAUGCUGCAGAUCGGCACAGAGGGAGCCACUGGAAGAAAACAAAGAAUACAGUGACCAAAAGGGAAGUGAUGGCAGCUGUUGUUCCCUUAUCAUCAUUGGGGAUUAAGACACCGCACUGGUAUCGACGGCUGUCCUGCAUGAUCACCUUGGUCAAAUGGAGUGUGCUCACAUGGUUGAUAUUGUCAAUCUCCGCAGAGACUCUGCCUUCAUAACCAGGUCCAAUGUUAAUCACAUUAUUCGGAUAGACGCUGGCCACGGGUUUCUAUAACACAACAUAUUGUACAAAGAUAUCGGCUCAGUAUAGUAUAAUAAUAUGAUAUCAUAACAAUGCUAGCUCAAUAUUCAACAGUAUAUAUAAGCUAUAUGAAUAGAACUGACUGUAGGUAGGGUUAUAUCUGCAUUGAGCUGAAAUGAAUAGUCAAUUAAUCGAUUUGUCAAUUGAACUUUAAUUCAGUUGUUUUUCAAGCACCCCCCCGACCUGUUUUAUCUGUUUUAUGUGAUGGUAAACUGAUUAUCUUUAUAUUUUGGACAAAAUGAGCGAUUUCAUGGAUUGAUUUUAGAAUUAACACAAAUUGAAACACUCAUGAAAAAUGAAAAUCUGGCUUAACAACCCCAAAUAAGCUAAAAUUGCUAAUGAAUAUAAAGUUAAGUCAAAUAGUCUUGAGUAGUACUAGAUAAUCCAAUACAUACUCUAAACAAGUCAGAUUAGAUUUUAAAUCUAAAUAUAAGAUUAUCUCCUUCGUUGCUUAGAGAAAGAGUUGAAUUUGUAGUGCAAAGCAGAGGUCAUCUUUCUUUUUUUGUGAUGGAAACUAUUAUUCACUACAUUGGAUCAUUGUCCAUUUCAGGAAGUGUCUAUUGUCCAUUUCAGGAAGUGGCAAUGUCACAGUUAUGUAGACAAAAUUAUGUAGACACACUAAAAAUCACUGGGUUAAAUCAGUGCUGAUCAAUACAGCACCGACUUUAUCCAGUACCAAUGAGUUUUUUUGUGUCAGUGUUAUCUUUUAUAUUACUUUUGGGUUACUGGGUCAAAAUAACGGCUUGUUUUAGGUGGUUUUUUACCCAUAGCUAAAGUUAAGCUAUGUUAACCUGCAUUGUGGCAGCAAUGUUGGUCCACAUUGGAAACAUUUUUAACCAAGUAAUUUUUAGUGUGUAACAUUUUCUGUGGUGAAUGUUAAUGAGAAUGUAAUUGAGAAGUCGAAGAUUGGAAGGUCUACAAUAAUAUAAGUAUAAAAUGGAUAUGAUACUGAUAGCAUGUUUAUUAAAAAGGAUACCUGUUGGGGA